AGGAUAAACGCUGGCGGCGUGCCUAACACAUGCAAGUCGAACGCGCUUUCGGGCUUCGGUGCGAGAGCGAGUGGCGGACGGGUGAGUAACACAUGGGUACCUACCUUGGAGUGAGGGAUACCGGCGAGAAAUCGCCGACAAUACCGCAUAGGCUUCUUCACAAGGGAAGCAAAGUGACGCGAGUCACGCUGUGAGAUGGGCCUGUGGCCGAUUAGCUAGUUGGGGGGGUAACGGCUUCCCAAGGCGACGAUCGGUAGCUGGUCUGAGAGGACGAUCAGCCACACUGGGAUUGAGAACGGCCCAGACUCCUACGGGGGGCAGCAGUGAGGAAUUUUCCGCAAUGGAGGCAACUCUGACGGAGCAACGCCGCGUGCAGGAGGAAGGUUUUCGGAUCGUAAACUGCUUUUCUCGGGGACGAGCAAGGACGGUACCCGAGGAAGAAGCCCGGCUAACUACGCGCCAGCAGCCGC
rnacentral:rRNA from 1 species